GCUGGUGUAGCUCAACUGGUAGAGCAGCUGACUUGUAAUCAGCCGGUUGGGGGUUCAAGUCCUCUCACCAGCUCCA
rnacentral:tRNA from 1 species